rnacentral:tRNA from 1 species
CUGAACCUCCUCCUUAAUG